UACGGAGGGUGCAAGCGUUAAUCGGAAUUAUUGGGCGUAAAGAGCUCGUAGGCGGUCUGUCGCGUCUGGUGUGAAAAUCCAGGGCUUAACCCUGGACCUGCAUCGGGUACGGGCAGACUAGAGUGCAGUAGGGGAGACUGGAAUUCCUGGUGUAGCGGUGAAAUGCGCAGAUAUCAGGAGGAACACCGAUGGCGAAGGCAGGUCUCUGGGCUGUAACUGACGCUGAGGAGCGAAAGCAUGGGGAGCGAACAGG
rnacentral:rRNA from 1 species